rnacentral:rRNA from 1 species
CUGAAGUUCACCUAUGUGCUGGCUGGUUGGGAAGGGUCAACACAUGAUGCUAACAUUCUCAGUGACAACAUGAGUCGUCUUGAUGGCAUCAACAUCCACGAUGGCAAGUUCUACCAAGGAGAUGCUGGCUAUGCAUGUCGGCCAGGUAUUCUCCCACCCUUCAGGAAAACUAGGUACCAUCUGAACGUGUUCGCUGGUAGGAACUAUCCUAGGACUCCACAGGAGCUAUUCAACCUCAGACACUUCAGCCUUAGAGUUACUGUUGAUAGGGCCUUUGGAGCUCUGAAGAACAGGUUUAAGAUACUGGAUAAAAAGCCAUCCACACUUUCCCCACUCAGCUUAAGCUUGUUCUUGCUUGUUGCAUUCUGCAUAACUCGAUCCUGCAAUGGGGUUGUGAUGAACUCGUGCCUAAGGAGGAAGAUGUGGCGUCUGACAAGUCAGCUCCGGCCAUGGUGUGGAUGA